UUUAAGGGGACAUCCUAAAGACUUCUUCACUGCAGUCAAACCUCUCUUCUUGAAGUUCUUGAUGAUCCAGUAAAUGGUUCUUUCAGGUGCAAUAUUCUUUGUAGCAAUUUCCUUGCAUGUGAGGCCAUUUUGAUGCAAAGAGAUGAUGGCUGCACGUGUUUCUUUGGAGAAACUAAGGUCUGUAGUAAUUGACAACAUGCUAUACAUAAAAAAAAGGUCCUAACCAGAUCUAUGAGGUGCAGGAUCUUGGACCAAUGUUGAUUCACUAUGGGCAGAGCUACCCAGUGUGACACCAUGGAAACAGAAGCCAAACACCUGGCAAAAUGUCCUGUCGGCAGUGUUUGUGUCACAGGUCAUUUCCACUGUGACAGGGAAUAUCAGCACGUUUGAAAGUAUUCAAGUCCUCAUCACAAUAUCAGAGAGAACAUGUGGACACUCCACCAAAACCCUCCUGCAUUUUUGAUGACUCAACUUUCUGUCCUCUUCCAGAGAUGAAGUGACUCAUAAGGAGAGAAAUGGCGACCAACAACAAUUCGGCCUCAUUAAGACAACAUGUCUAAUAUUCAGCCCUCCGUAUAUUCAUCAGAUUGGACAGACUGCAUCAACUCGGC
ensembl:lncRNA